rnacentral:rRNA from 1 species
AACGAACGCUGGCGGCGCGCCUAACACAUGCAAGUCGAACGAGAAUCCGGGGCAACCCGGUAGUAAAGUGGCAAACGGGUGAGGAAUACAUGGGUAACCUACCCUUGAGAAGGGAAUAACCCGCCGAAAGGUGAGCUAAUACCCUAUACGCUAUCUUUUUUUCGAAAAGGAUAGGAAAGCCGGGUCGAGGACCUGGUACUCAAGGAGGGGCUCAUGUCCUAUCAGCUUGUUGGUGGGGUAACGGCCUACCAAGGCUACGACGGGUAGCUGGUCUGAGAGGAUGAUCAGCCACACUGGCACUGAGAUACGGGCCAGACUCCUACGGGAGGCAGCAGUGAGGAAUAUUGCGCAAUGGGCGAAAGCCUGACGCAGCGACGCCGCGUGGGGGAUGAAGGUUUUCGGAUUGUAAACCCCUUUCAUGAGGAAAGAUAAAGUGGGUAACCACUUAGACGGUACCUCAAGAAGAAGCCACGGCUAACUUCGUGCCAGCAGCCGCGGUAAGUCUAGCAUG